rnacentral:rRNA from 1 species
UACGUAGGGGGCUAGCGUUGUCCGGAAUCAUUGGGCGUAAAGCGCGUGUAGGCGGUCCGGUAAGUCCGCUGUGAAAGUCGGGGGCUCAACCCUCGGAUGCCGGCGGAUACUGUCGGGCUUGAGUACGGAAGAGGCGAGUGGAAUUCCUGGUGUAGCGGUGAAAUGCGCAGAUAUCAGGAGGAACACCAAUUGCGAAGGCAGCUCGCUGGGACGCUACUGACGCUGAGACGCGAAAGCGUGGGGAGCAAACAGG